UUGGACCGAGGCUAGAGGUUCUUGUUCAACGGUGGCUCCCUCACGUGGCUGGCAGUUGGUGCUGGCUGCGGGGGGGAAUUCUGAAUUCCUCUUUGUGAAGGCUCCUCCACAGGCUAACCGCGCGUUCUCCUGACAUGGCAGCUGGCUUCCCAGCAAAGGAGGCCUUCAGGGCGGAAGUGACGGUGCCUUUUUUUGACCUAGCCUUGGAAGUUACACACUAAGUAUUUGUUUGCUGCCUACUAUGAGGUGGACACUCUUCUAAGCACCUGACAGAUAAACGGAGGUUGAGUGGCAAUGGACAAUGAGAACCAAGGUAUCUGGCCACCGUCAUUAAGCAUUUGAGCCACAGUGAGUUCUAGGCUCCCUGUAGGGGUGGGUAUGGGGGCGAAGGGUACUCCUGCUCUCAAUUUGUGGUCUCUUGUGGAAAUCUCAGGGUUGCACAGAGCCAGUCAUUGUGAGAGGUACCAAGAUGCCGUAGGAAAUAACCAAAGGAGUUGCCCCCGGGCUCAUUGCCAGCUGAAAUGGUCAAGGAUGGGGCAUGCGCUGAGACAUGGAGUUAAGAAGAGGAUGGAGGAUUGAUUCAACAAGGUGAAAGCUCAAGAAGAACAGGUUCGAAAUAAAUGUGGAGCCUCUCUCGUCGAAGUCAGAUAGGGACGGGCCUGGCUUCUGUUCGCAGGGAUGCGAGAGGGCUGCGCCCAAUUUAGUACGCCCUCCCCACGAACUCCUAUGUUGAAACUUAAUCCCCCAGUGUGAGGGUAUUUGGAGGUGGAGCCUUUGAGAGGUGCUUAGGUCUGAGGUUGGAGCCCUCAUGCAAAGAAUUAGUUCCUGUGUAAGGGAGGCUCAGAGGGUGCCUGCACCCACCUGCCGGACGACAACAGAGCAACAAGAAUGCUGUCUGGAAACCAGGAAGCAGGUCCUCACCAGACACCACAUCUGCUGGCACCUUGAUUUGGGACUUCCCCGACUCCAGAACCUGAGAAAUAAAUGUCUGUUACGCAUAA